CCUACGGGUGGCAGCAGUGAGGAAUAUUGGUCAAUGGACGCAAGUCUGAACCAGCCAUGCCGCGUGCAGGAUGACGGCUCUAUGAGUUGUAAACUGCUUUUGUACGAGGGUCAACUCCGUCACGUGUGUCUGGUUGACAGUAUCGUAUGAAUAAGGAUCGGCUAAUUCCGUGCCAGCAGCCGCGGUAAUACGGAGGUUCCGGGCGUUAUCCGGAUUUAUUGGGUUUAAAGGGAGCGUAGGCGGUGUGUUAAGUUCGUGGUGAAAUGUCGCGGCUCAACCGCGGAACUGCCUCGAAAACUGUGGGACUAGAGUGUAGUUGCGGUAGGCGGAAUGAAUGGUGUAGCGGUGAAAUGCUUAGAUAUCACGCAGAACACCGAUUGCGAAGGCAGCCUACCGAA
rnacentral:rRNA from 1 species